CCUACGGGUGACAGCAGUGGGGAAUAUUGGGCAAUGGGCGCAAGCCUGACCCAGCAACGCCGCGUGAAGGAAGAAGGCUUUCGGGUUGUAAACUUCUUUUCUCAGGGACGAAGCAAGUGACGGUACCUGAGGAAUAAGCCACGGCUAACUACGUGCCAGCAGCCGCGGUAAUACGUAGGUGGCAAGCGUUAUCCGGAUUUACUGGGUGUAAAGGGCGUGUAGGCGGGAAAGCAAGUCAGAUGUGAAAACCAUGGGCUCAACCUGUGGCCUGCAUUUGAAACUGUUUUUCUUGAGUACUGGGGAGGCAGACGGAAUUCCUAGUGUAGCGGUGAAAUGCGUAGAUAUUAGGAGGAACACCAGUGGCGAAGGCGGUCUGCUGGACAGCAACUGACGCUGAGGCGCGAAAGCGUGGGGAGCAAACAGGAUUAGAUACCCCAGUAGUC
rnacentral:rRNA from 1 species